AUGAGCAAUGAGCUACUGGAACUACUAUACUUCAUUACAAGUAGUCAAAAGGAAGGCGCUGAAAAAAUUGAUCUCAACAAGGAUGUUCUUCAAGCUAGCCGGAUGAAGGAAGGAACCGGCAAGGCCACUCCUUACCAUUUAACUGGAAUUAACCGAUGCAAGUCCAAGAAGGAUUGGCCAGUGCUGCCGGCUAGCGUCAAGUUCGAUCCCAUGGAUCAGGAGCUGAUCGAGCACCUUGAGGCCGAAGUGAGUGCUGACAGCGCGAGAUCUCACCCUCUCAUCGAUUUGUUCAUACCAACCAUCCACGGCGAGCACAGCAUAUGCUACACCCAUCCUGAGAAACUUCCAGCGCAACUCCAGGGCAUUCAAAAGGAGCACGUCGACGCGUCGCAAGAUAUAGUCGGAGUGCGGCAUGCACACGAUGUGGCACAAGACCGGCAAUACCUUGCCGGUGAUGGUCAACGGGCAGCAAAAAGGUUCUGCUGUUGCAUACCAACAAGAACUUCGACCAGCAAAGGACCAACUGGGUGA
rnacentral:rRNA from 1 species